UACGUAGGGGGCAAGCGUUGUCCGGAUUUAUUGGGCGUAAAGAGCGUGUAGGCGGCCAUACAGGUCAGCUGUGAAAACUCGAGGCUCAACCUCGAGACGUCGGUUGAAACCGUAUGGCUAGAGUCCGGAAGAGGAGAGUGGAAUUCCCGGUGUAGCGGUGAAAUGCGCAGAUAUCGGGGAAGAACACCCGUGGCGAAGGCGGCUCUCUGGGACGGUACUGGACGCUGAGACGCGAAAAGCGUGGGGAGCGAACGAGG
rnacentral:rRNA from 1 species